ACUCCUACGGGAGGCAGCAGUGAGGAAUAUUGGGCAAUGGAGGCAACUCUGACCCAGCCAUGCCGCGUGCAGGAAGACGGCCCUAUGGGUUGUAAACUGCUUUUAUACAGGAAGAAACGCAUCUACGUGUAGGUGUUUGACGGUACUGUAAGAAUAAGGAUCGGCUAACUCCGUGCCAGCAGCCGCGGUAAUACGGAGGAUUCGAGCGUUAUCCGGAAUCAUUGGGUUUAAAGGGUCCGUAGGCGGUCUUAUAAGUCAGUGGUGAAAUCUUCCAGCUCAACUGGGAAACUGCCAUUGAUACUGUAGGACUUGAAUAUUUGUGAAGUAACUAGAAUAUGUAGUGUAGCGGUGAAAUGCUUAGAUAUUACAUGGAAUACCAAUUGCGAAGGCAGGUUACUAACAGAUUAUUGACGCUGAUGGACGAAAGCGUGGGUAGCGAACAGGAUUAGAUACCCUGGUAGGAUAGCGU
rnacentral:rRNA from 1 species